AAAAAAAAAAAAAGAAAUAACCCUUCCUCGUCAGAGUUACAUCCAAUCUAAGUGGAUCACCCGGACGUAUACCUGGUCUGCUCUUCCGGCCUUAAACCCUUCUCGACCUUCCAUCCCCUUUCUUCGCUCCUAACAUCAGGCCGUCGUGGAACGUCUUCGUCACGGACAACGACGCUCGCCAACUGUUGCGUCUUUCCUGAAUCCUGAUUCCUCAGCGAUCGUAUAACGUCCCUUCCGCUUGCGUUCGUUGAAAAUCUUCAAGAAACCGAUCGCAAUCCACCCUAAAUAUUGCAACCCCUGACCUAACCCUAGCCUACGUGACCCCAAGAUAGCUGAGUGCAAUUACGAAUAGGAACGAAGCCAGCAAUAAUUAUACAUUAAAGCAUAGCGCAAAGGUGCAAAGGUGUUCCUGGUCUCAAGGUUAAGGCAAAACGGUGUCAGGUGUUUUUUCAUGCGGUCUCCAGACAUAGGGUCGCACGGUGUUAGGUGUAUACCUAGUCCACACCAGAUACCAGAUACCAGAACCACACCGUGUCCACUCGGUUGGAACGUCAGGACGUCGCUGCACCUCGUGAGAUUUGUGGGUUCCCCUUAUGAAAUAAACUUAACGGACAGUUUCCAUAUUAACCCACGAAAAAUUAAAAAAAAAACCAUCAGAACUUCAUACCCAUAUUUCAAAAUAUAUUUCAUACAAAAAAUAAUCAUAAAAUCAAAACAACGCUUCCCCGUGCUACGCGUAUACGGUAGGUAUAGAAUAUCCACGUAGAAAUAAAGUGUCGACUUAAUAUGGCUUCCAGCAUAACACAAGAACCGUGACUUCGUGUACAGAGCGACGGGUGCAUAGAUACAUUUUAAUUGACCUUACGUCAUACCCACCACAGCCAAACUCCGGUUCCCAGGAUUUGUUUAUGCACGGAAAUUUAAGUAGAGUCCAAAAGCGACCAUAAAAGUUUCGCGUAAGCUAUUAACUGUAUACGGGUAUUAAAAAGAAAAACGAGAUAAACAGAUAAUCGAUCGAUCGACAAGACAGACGAUUCCACGAUUCUGCAAUUCUGAUUGGUCGCGAGUCCUAGGGGAUAAAAGUCACGUGUCCAGUGGAUUUUAGGGGAAUCCCUAGGAAGUCGGGAACGAGAAGACGAGGCGGACCAAAAUGGCUGACGGUCUCGUGAAACGAAAGAGAGUGGAGGAUACGGUCUGACAGGAAGUUCAUUGUCUACGUAAUAUAACGUUGCUGGUUGAUGCGCAGAUUCGCAUUGUUAUCGGGUCGAAUCGAACCGGGUCGUUACUCCAUUUUUAAUGUAAUUGAACGCGACGAGGAAUUGUCAGAUAAAAAAAUAAUAAUAACAUACUAUAUUAUGCAUACGAUAUUUUCCUCCAAAGUCGUACAUAAAUCAUGGUACAUGGUUGUUCCCUGUUACGCAACAUCCAGGGUUAUCCUAAGCAUCACCUCGAGAUACGAUAAAGACUUUAUUACUCUUGUUUACCAAUCACCGAUCGUGUCUCUUAUGCGUCUUAUCGAAAUUCCAUAUCAGCAUUUUAAUUCCUGUACGUACUGUAAUCGAUAUUUUUUUGUAGGACAGUCCGUCACAUAAACUAUGUUAAAGAGGGGUGACCGGUGGGGGGGGGGUAGUAAAAAAGGGUUAUUUCAUCAAUUAUCACAGAGUUGAGUUAUUAGGUGUAAUAGUGUUAACCACGUUAUCACAGCUUUCACUUUCACCACAUAGAAAUUCAUAUCGGAUAUUUGAGUUACGAGAUUUUGUAACGCGUCGAGAUUACAAAACGAAGAUUUACGUGACAGGAUAAGGAGACGAGGGGAGGUUAAUUUCAAAUAAUUUUUUAUACGGCACUGCCAUAAUUCAAUUGCCCGUUGAUCCCUCUUUAUCGCCUCUUGUCCCGUUCCCGAUCAAUCGGACCCCCGAAUACACAUCAAUUUGCCAAAAUGAUAGUGACGCUUGAAAAGCAGACGACAAACGACAUAAUGAAAAAAAAAAAUUUACCAAAAACAUGAAAAACCGUAAAAUGCAGAUACGUAAAACGUAUCGCAUAACUGUAGAAAGUAAAUAAAAAAUGAUCUAUCGUACCAGGUUGCUAUACUGGCAAUCAGUGUUAAGCCGCAAAUAGCGAGAAGAGGAUUGAGGCCAAUUAUCAAUUAGUCUGGAUGCAGGAGCAUCAGACUUCGAGCGAGUCGGUUUGCCUUGAGAAAUCUUAAAUUUCGUUUAUCCUUCAACCGAACGGCGUACCAUCUUUUUUACGAGUUUUUUUUCACGUCUCUUAUUGACUCCCCCAAUCGCCCCCCGCGUUCUUAGUCGUUCCUUCUGAUAUUUUUUGCCAGAAUUUCUUCUGCCCGAGAAAGCCAAAUGGAAACCCGCAUGGUCGCUUCACGGGCUAGAGGCGAAGCAUAGCCAAGAAGCGAGAUGAACGUAGUUCGUCUUUGGUCGUGGAAGCUGGGAUUAUGGCGAGCGAUGAUGCGCCGUUGUGUAGUUAAGUUAAUUAAUGAAUGGUACGUUCGGGGUGGAGAGUGAGGUUAAAUUGAUACGUCCUUCGCGUGCAGUCGUUUUUAUACUCCGUGCCUUCCUAUGCUCGGCUCGCCUUAAGCUGCGUUCACAUCUGAGCGUGAUUGAAGACGUAGCGUCGGAAAGUCGGGAUUCUUUGUUGAGACAGUAUCUCUUGGUGGUUCUACGAGUAUGUGAAUAUUGUGUGGAUAUUUAUUUUCUAUUGGACACCCUAUCAUCUUUAUGGACUCGCCGAAGCUAUACACAAAUCUGUCAAACUUGCUAACGGACGGCUCAUCUGAGGGGCACUUCGGAUUCUUUGGAUUCUCCGAAGUCCUGAACCAGAAAUGUUAUUGGUCAUCUCUUUGGACUGAAUUGAAAUUCCAGCUGCAGUGGCGAAUGUUACAUAGUGACACGUUUACGUCAUUAACUGACGAACAUGAACGGGAUAUGUUGUUGAGUGGAUGAGAAGCUUUGUUAACGUUCGGGGAAGCGAAUACGAAACGUUUGCGCAGGACCAAUUGAAGUUUCUCGCCUGCAUAUACAUAUGUGUAUACCCAUAAUGGCUGCCUAAUGGAUAAUGUAUCUGGAGCAAUUAAUUGCGUUAAACCGGCUUAUUCGUAGAGUGACGUCAGUGGAUGAGUGCUCGAAAAGAAUUUUACUUCAAAAUACAUUUCAAGAAUUCCUGGAGAAGAGUAACAGAGUGCUGGAUGCUGCGGACGUUCCGCAUCGCAGGAUUCAUGGUAGCUGAACGUGAGAAAAUAACGGACGUUGAGUGUAACGAAAAACGGUUAUAAAAAAAAAUUCAAAGAUUCUAAAUAAAAAUAAGAGUCCUGUGGAAUCCGCAAAGCAUGAAGGACUUUGCGGCAUAUCUGAUUAAUUCGAUAUCGGCAUCUCUUCGAAGCGCUCUUCAAGAUUUUA